rnacentral:tRNA from 1 species
AGCCUUGAGGUAUGAUCACGCCAGAUUGCAAAUUUGGAGACGUAGAGUAAAAUCUGCCGGGGCUU